rnacentral:rRNA from 1 species
UACGUCGGUUGCGAGCGUUAAUCGGAAUUACUGGGCGUAAAGCGUGCGCAGGCGGUUUUGUAAGCCAGAUGUGAAAGCCCCGGGCUUAACCUGGGAAUGGCAUUUGGGACUGCAAGGCUUGAGUGCGGCAGAGGAGACUGGAAUUCCUGGUGUAGCAGUGAAAUGCGUAGAUAUCAGGAGGAACACCGGUGGCGAAGGCGGGUCUCUGGGCCGAUACUGACGCUGAGGAGCGAAAGCGUGGGGAGCAAACAGG